rnacentral:rRNA from 1 species
UACGAAGGUGGCAAGCGUUACUCGGAAUUACUCGGCGUAAAGGGCAGGUAGGUGGUUUGGUUAGUCUGUUGUGAAAGCUCCCGGCUUAACUGGGAGAGGUCAACGGAUACUGCCGAACUUGAGUAUAGGAGAGGUUACUGGAAUUCCCGGUGUAGCGGUGAAAUGCGCAGAGAUCGGGAGGAACACCAAUGGCGAAAGCAGGUAACUGGACUAUUACUGACACUCAGCUGCGAAAGCUAGGGGAGCAAACAGG